CGGUGCUGCUCUGCACGCCAGCGCCUUUCCCGGGCGGAGUCGCCUGCUCAGGACUCCUUCUACUUGGAAGUUCGAGUCUGUAGCGUCACGUAUGCGGCAGACUCAGUUCGUGGCCCUGUGCUGCGGCAGGAGGAGGCGGCGCACGGCUUGUCCCCCUCCAUUUCGGGAGGGAUGGUUCACCCCGCGAGAGGCACGCCGGGAGCAGCGGGGCCGCCGGGGCAGCAGCUGGGCUUGUGAGGAAGGAGUGGUGUAAGGUUGUGGUGGUUGGGGCUGUUUGUCUUCGGAAAUGGAGCACUUACCUCAAACGAAAGUGAUAGAAGUCGGUCGGUGGCCGGAGCAUGCACCAACAUGACCAAAAGGUGUCCCAAGAACAUGGUUUCUAGUGUGUUUUGCUGGAAGUUCAGGAUCUCCCAGAGAUAGUCCUGUAUGCUGAAAGCCUCCGAGCAUGAGAAGGGCAUGUGGGAAGAAGCCACGAAGUGCUGAUUGCACAGCUGAAAAAAUAUAACUGAUCCUCAGUGAAGUGAUGAAACUCCUUCAAGCUGGCCGUGAUGCUCUUGCUCUUAACAUCAGAAAGUUUCAUCAAUGAAAUGUGAAAAUCUGCAUGAGCAACACAGGUGCACUGAAUCCUUUACCACUGCUGCUGGUAGGAGAUGAGUGUGUGAAAUCCAUCCUCACCUUCAGCACCACAGACACUGGGGACUUCUGCAGGGCUGGAGACUAAGGUGGACACUCUUUGUAAGAACCUAUUGGGACACUGGGAAGAGAAAUGUAUGUGUAAUCAAUUAUUAGUAAUGUGUCCAGCAACAGGGCUGCUGUUUGUUUUCCAACAUAAAAUUACUAAAUCUUGUGUAUUAUUGGC